rnacentral:rRNA from 1 species
UACGUAGGGUGCAAGCGUUGUCCGGAAUUAUUGGGCGUAAAGAGCUCGUAGGCGGUUUGUUGCGUCGGCUGUGAAAUCCCGAGGCUCAACCUCGGGUCUGCAGUCGAUACGAGCAAACUAGAGUGUUGCAGGGGAGACUGGAAUUCCUGGUGUAGCGGUGGAAUGCGCAGAUAUCAGGAGGAACACCAAUGGCGAAGGCAGGUCUCUGGGCCACAACUGACGCUGAGGAGCGAAAGCGUGGGGAGCGAACAGG